UACGAAGGGGGCUAGCGUUGCUCGGAAUCACUGGGCGUAAAGGGCGCGUAGGCGGAUCUUUAAGUCGGGGGUGAAAGCCCAGGGCUCAACCCUGGAAUUGCCUUCGAUACUGAAGAUCUCGAGACCGGAAGAAGUUAGUGGAACUGCGAGUGUAGAGGUGAAAUUCGUAGAUAUUCGCAAGAACACCAGUGGCGAAGGCGGCUAACUGGUCCGGUUCUGACGCUGAGGCGCGAAAGCGUGGGGAGCAAACAGG
rnacentral:rRNA from 1 species